rnacentral:rRNA from 1 species
CACCAAGGAAUUGAGUCAUACUUACAUGGUAAAAAGACAGUUAAACUUUAAAAUUUUGGCUUAUUAAUUAAUUUAUAAAAAAGUAAAAUUUGGAUAUAAAUUGUUAAUCUAUUAACAGCCUUUGAAGUUGAAUCUGUGAAAGUCUUGAGGGAAACUGGGAUUAGAUACCCCAUUAUUCUUGAUUACAAAUUAAAUAAAAUUUACCAGAGUACUAUGAAUAUAAUAGAAUUUAAAACUCAAAGGGCUUGGCGGUGUUUUAGACCGCUCAGGGGAACUUGUCUCAUAAUCGAUAAUCCACGCUAUACCUGACCUUUUUUGGUUUUCAGCUUGUAUACCGUUGUCGUCAGGUAACUUUUUAGAAGCUAGAAGUUAGCUAAUAAUCUUAUAAAUUGAAACGUCAAAUCAAGGUGCAGCUUAUAUAAAGGGGAAGAUGAGUUACAAUUAUUAAGUUAUAACUACGAAAAACUAUCAGAAUUGUAAGUUGAAAGGAGGACUUGAAAGUAAAUUAAAUUAUAUAAAUACUUUGAAUUAGGCUCUGAAACGUGC